rnacentral:tRNA from 1 species
AAUAAGAAGCAAAGUAUGCGUUUAGUUUCGACCUAAAAGCUUGAUGGGAACAUCCUUAUUU